UGGGGAAUAUUGCACAAUGGGCGAAAGCCUGAUGCAGCAACGCCGCGUGAGUGAUGAAGGCCUUCGGGUUGUAAAGCUCUGUCUUUUGGGACGAUAAUGACGGUACCAAAGGAGGAAGCCACGGCUAACUACGUGCCAGCAGCCGCGGUAAUACGUAGGUGGCAAGCGUUGUCCGGAUUUACUGGGCGCAAAGGAUGCGUAGGCGGAUUUUUAAGUGAGAUGUGAAAUACCCGGGCUUAACUUGGGUGCUGCAUUUCAAACUGGGAAUCUAGAGUGCGGGAGAGGAGAAUGGAAUUCCUAGUGUAGCGGUGAAAUGCGUAGAGAUUAGGAAGAACACCAGUGGCGAAGGCGAUUCUCUGGACCGUAACUGACGCUGAGGCAUGAAAGCGUGGGUAGCAAACAGGAUUAGAUACCCUGGUAGUCCACGCCGUAAACGAUGAGUACUAGGUGUAGGAGGUAUCGACCCCUUCUGUGCCGCAGUUAACACAAUAAGUACUCCGCCUGGGAAGUACGAUCGCAAGAUUAAAACUUAAAUGAAUUGACGGGGUCAUAGCUGUUUUCCUG
rnacentral:rRNA from 1 species